rnacentral:rRNA from 1 species
UACGGAGGGGGCUAGCGUUGUUCGGAAUCAUUGGGCGUAAAGGGCGCGUAGGCGGCCGGCCAAGUCGGGUGUGAAAUCCCUCGGCUCAACCGAGGAACUGCACUCGAUACUGGCUGGCUAGAGUCCGGGAGGGGAUGGUGGAAUUCCCAGUGUAGCGGUGAAAUGCGUAGAUAUUGGGAAGAACACCGGUGGCGAAGGCGGCCAUCUGGACCGGAACUGACGCUGAGGCGCGAAAGCCAGGGGAGCGAAUGGG